CCGCGGUAUACAGAGGGUGCAGCGUUAAUCCGGAAUUACUAGGGCGUAAAGCGAGCGUAGGUGGCUUGAUAAGUCAGAUGUGAAAUCCCCGGGCUUAACCUGGGAACUGCAUCUGAAACUGUUAGGCUAGAGUAGGUGAGAGGGAAGUAGAAUUUCAGGUGUAGCGGUGAAAUGCGUAGAGAUCUGAAGGAAUACCGAUGGCGAAGGCAGCUUCCUGGCAUCAUACUGACACUGAGGCUCGAAAGCGUGGGUAGCAAACAGGAUUAGAUACCCUGGUAGUCCACGCCGUAAACGAUGUCUACUAGUCGUUGGGUCCCUUGAGGACUUAGUGACGCAGCUAACGCAAUAAGUAGACCGCCUGGGGAGUACGGCCGCAAGGUUAAAACUCAAAUGAAUUGACGGGGGCCCGCACAAGCGGUGGAGCAUGUGGUUUAAUUCGAUGCAACGCGAAGAACCUUACCUGGUCUUGACAUACACAGAAUCUUGUAGAGAUACGAGAGUGCCUUCGGGAAUUGUGAUACAGGUGCUGCAUGGCUGUCGUCAGCUCGUGUCGUGAGAUGUUGGGUUAAGUCCCGCAACGAGCGCAACCCUUGUCCUUAGUUACCAGCACUUCGGGUGGGAACUCUAAGGAUACUGCCAGUGACAAACUGGAGGAAGGCGGGGACGACGUCAAGUCAUCAUGGCCCUUACGACCAGGGCUACACACGUGCUACAAUGGUAGGUACAGAGGGCAGCUACACAGCGAUGUGAUGCGAAUCUCAAAAAGCCUAUCGUAGUCCAGAUUGGAGUCUGCAACUCGACUCCAUGAAGUAGGAAUCGCUAGUAAUCGCGGAUCAGAUGCCGCGUGAUACGUCG
rnacentral:rRNA from 1 species